AGGAUUGCACAAUGGGGGAAACCUGAUGCAUGCUAUACCGCGUGUGUGAUGAAGGUCUUAGGAUUGUAAAACACUUUCAGCAAGGGAAAAAAUUAUAUAAAUAAUACUUAUAUUAACUGAUAUUACCUGCAAAAGAAGUACCGGCUAACUCCGUGCCAGCAGCCGCGGUAAUACGGAGGGUACAAGCGUUAAUCGGAAUUAUUGGGCGUAAAGAGUACGUAGGUGGUAUAUUAAGUCAGAUGUGAAAUACUUAAGCUUAACUUAAGAACUGCAUUUGAAACUAAUAAACUAGAGUUUUAUAGAGGGGAGUAGAAUUCCAAGUGUAGCGGUGAAAUGCGUAGAUAUUUGGAGGAAUACCAGAGGCGAAGGCGACUCCCUGGGUAAUAACUGACACUGAGGUACGAAAGCUUGGGGAGCAAACAGGAUUAGAUACCCUGGUAGUCCAUGCUGUAAACGAUGUCAAUUUGAAGAUUGUAAUAUUAUUAUUUUUUAUAAUUUUCGUAGCUAACGCAUUAAAUUGACCGCCUGGGGAUUACGACCGCAAGGUUAAAACUCAAAUGAAUUGACGGGGACCCGCACAAGCGGUGGAGCAUGUGGUUUAAUUCGAUACAACGCGAAAAACCUUACCUACUCUUGACAUCUAUAAGUAAUAAAGGCAGAAAAUGUUUUAAGUAUCUUGUUUGACAGAAUCUUUAAGACCAGGUGCU
rnacentral:rRNA from 1 species